UGUGCGUGUGAGAGUGUGUGUGUGUGUGCGCUUGUGCGUGUGUGAGAGUGUUGUUGCUCGUGUUGUGCAAUUUACCCGUGCAUGGCAGCCAAAGUGAUAAGGGCGAUGUAUAAGGGCAAUAAAUGAUUGGGAGAUGAACUGUUGUUUCCCAACACGCUAAACCUAGGUCACAGUCGUUACUUCCUUGUUGCUACGAGAAAAAAAACCGUCAAGUGAUCUUGGUCCCUUUGAACUGG